ensembl:lncRNA
UUCAAUUAGGAUGUUGCCUGUAUAGGCAGCAGACAGCCGUGCGGUUCACUAGGUUUGGAGUGUGUGUGUGUGUGUGUGUGUGUGUGUGCUGCUGACCCUCCUCUAAUGGCUCUGAUGAUAGAUCAGUUGUGUGCUGAUGAUAAUUAAUUCUCUCGGUGUGUUUUAGGACGGGUCGGCGCUGACGCUCUGUCAGUCAGAUGGUUCUCAGGAGAGUCUUUUGUUUUGAAUAGGGGGAAAAUCUGAGCCGCCGAGAAGAGAUUCCCAGCCCGAUCAAUUCCCUCUAACUACACUAUUGAUUAGCUGCAGUAACAUUUUUCAUUUAUUAAUUAUGAGGAAUAUGUACUUGGAAGUGUCUCUCUGUCUCUCCUGAUAGGGUCAUCAGCCAUAAGCUGAUAUCAUUUGGUGCUUGUAUGAAUGUGCUAUAGACAUAUUGUCGUCAUUAAGGACACACUGACACGUCUUUGUCUCUGAAAUAUGACUCUGCAUCUUCCAUACUUCUCUUUCUGAUAGGGAGGUUUUAUUUUUAGGUUUAAAAUGAUUAAGCUCUGGCUUUAAUGGUGUUUCAGUGCUAGUACAUAUACAGUAGUACAAUGUCAUUUACACCUAAAAAUGUCAUUGAAUUAGAUGACAAAAUAUGAAUAAACAUGCACAAAUACACCUUUAAUGCCAAGAAUAUUGACAAAAAGUACAUGCAUCUAAUAAAAACCACAACAUAUUUAAGUAUUUAAUUGAUACUGUGAUCUUUUUAGGAAGUGUCCAAAUACGUGCUUCCACGGAAAUGACAUCUUAUAUUUGGGUCUUAAACACACUCAUAUGUGACGUGGAGCAUCUGUUUAUGUGCUUAAAGAUGGUGAUAUUGAUUGUGUUAAUUAUGGCUUGACUUUCACCUCCUCAGGACGGAUACGGCUGUGUUCAUGAGUGUGAAGAUCACACAUGUGUCAUUCCCGAGGAAGAAUGAUGCCUCGCCUUCGGCCACAAGAUCUUGCACCUGAAAGAUAUAAAACCGCACCCAGCGUCUCACACUCGUGACUCACCGUUUCCCGCCUCCCUCGACAAGACAGAAAUUACCCUCAAACUGAUUCUACGAUCAAUAACAACAUGCCCACCAAUCAAGAGCGCCGACCCGGGGUUAAGAUCCAAUCAGCAGCUCACACUCCUCCUGCUUCAAGAGUCUGAGCAGACGCAAACAAACAAGACGUUUACAGGUCUGAGGAGAGACACACAAACCAGACGUUAUUCAUAGAAACACGAACAAAGAUUUGAAAUAAAUAUGAUUCUGAGAUGUAUUCUUUGUUAUGA